rfam:Lepisosteus oculatus linkage group LG7, whole genome shotgun sequence.
GCCAGCGGCCAUGUCACCUAGCAAUUCACAUCUAGCAACCCACUGAAGCUAAGCAGGUGUGUGCCUGGUCAGUAUGUGGAUGGGAGACCUCCUGGGAAAAACUAAGGUUGCUGCUGGAA